UCCUCCUUCCAGCCAACCGAGUCUGCUAAAAGUUCGAAUUGGGCCAUGAAAGCUUCAAAGUCGGCAUCACCAGAGAACUUAGGUGUCUUCACGCUACAGUUAGCCACCGGGUACUGCGCCGCGCCAUCUUUGUUGACAUUGCCAUAGUAAUGCUGAUCGUCGCGCCGUGACGUCGGCAUUGGGUCCUUUAUGUCCGGAGCGGCGCCCUGUAGUUGCGUCAGAUCCAGCUUGGCGGGUCUCGCGCCCAGCAUCUUCCCUCACGCGACGCGAUACGUUAUCCGAGUUGACGACUAAACUAGCCCUCCGACCGAGGCAGCAGUUCGAAAGCGCUUCUGACACCAGUGUAACACCCCUGGUCGGGAUGCUAAAUCAGGAGCCGGAGUCAGAGGAGUGGAGCCACGAGAGAGAGAGAGCUUCCCAAAACCCCACCUUAUAUAAGCUAUGGCCUGAGACCCCUGGACCCGCCCCUGCUGUCCCCAAGUCCCCCAGAGAUGCCCUCCUCACUGCGGGACGUCCCACCAGGUAAACCAGCCCCACCUAACUGUCAGGCCCCGCCCCCUAAUGAAGCAUAACUGACCAACUUAGAACU